ensembl:misc_RNA Metazoa_SRP Metazoan signal recognition particle RNA
GCUGGGUGUGGUGGCGCAUGCCUGUAAUCUCAGCUACUCAGGAGGCUGAGACAGGAGAAUCGCUUGAACCUGGGAGGUAGAGGUUGCAGUGAGCUGAGAUCGUGCCACUGCACUCCAGCCUGGGUGAGAGAGUGAGACUCUGUCUCAA